UAGAAAUGUCUUAAAGAAUAUACGUGGGAA
rnacentral:piRNA from 1 species